rnacentral:rRNA from 1 species
GCGGGACACGUGGUAUCCUGUCUGAAUAUGGGGGGACCAUCCUCCAAGGCUAAAUACUCCUGACUGACCGAUAGUGAACCAGUACCGUGAGGGAAAGGCGAAAAGAACCCCGGCGAGGGGAGUGAAAAAGAACCUGAAACCGUGUACGUACAAGCAGUGGGAGCCUCUUAAUGGGGUGACUGCGUACCUUUUGUAUAAUGGGUCAGCGACUUAUAUUCUGUAGCAAGGUUAACCGAAUAGGGGAGCCGAAGGGAAACCGAGUCUUAACUGGGCGUUAAGUUGCAGGGUAUAGACCCGAAACCCGGUGAUCUAGCCAUGGGCAGGUUGAAGGUUGGGUAACACUAACUGGAGGACCGAACCGACUAAUGUUGAAAAAUUAGCGGAUGACUUGUGGCUGGGGGUGAAAGGCCAAUCAAACCGGGAGAUAGCUGGUUCUCCCCGAAAGCUAUUUAGGUAGCGCCUCGUGAAUUCAUCUCCGGGGGUAGAGCACUGUUUCGGCAAGGGGGUCAUCCCGACUUACCAACCCGAUGCAAACUGCGAAUACCGGAGAAUGUUAUCACGGGAGACACACGGCGGGUGCUAACGUCCGUCGUGAAGAGGGAAACAACCCAGACCGCCAGCUAAGGUCCCAAAGUCAUGGUUAAGUGGGAAACGAUGUGGGAAGGCCCAGACAGCCAGGAUGUUGGCUUAGAAGCAGCCAUCAUUUAAAGAAAGCGUAAUAGCUCACUGGUCGAGUCGGCCUGCGCGGAAGAUGUAACGGGGCUAAACCAUGCACCGAAGCUGCGGCAGCGACACUAUGUGUUGUUGGGUAGGGGAGCGUUCUGUAAGCCUGUGAAGGUGGCCUGUGAGGGUUGCUGGAGGUAUCAGAAGUGCGAAUGCUGACAUAAGUAACGAUAAAGCGGGUGAAAAGCCCGCUCGCCGGAAGACCAAGGGUUCCUGUCCAACGUUAAUCGGGGCAGGGUGAGUCGACCCCUAAGGCGAGGCCGAAAGGCGUAGUCGAUGGGAAACAGGUUAAUA